CAAUGGGGUAAGAGUUUCCGUC
rnacentral:miRNA from 1 species